rnacentral:sRNA from 1 species
GCUGGGUGUGGUAAUGCACACCUGUAAUUCCAGCCACUUGGGAGGUGAGGCAGGAGGAUCACAAGUUCAAAGACAGCUUCAUCAACUCAGAAAGGCCCUAAGCAACUUAAUGAGAACCUGUCUCAA